rnacentral:rRNA from 1 species
AGUGAACGCUGGCGGUAUGCCUAACACAUGCAAGUCGAACGGCAGCACAGUAAGAGCUUGCUCUUACGGGUGGCGAGUGGCGGACGUGUGAGGAAUACAUCGGAAUCUACUUUUUCGUGGGGGAUAACGUAGGUAAACUUACUCUAAUACCGCAUACGACCUACGGGUGAAAGCAGGGGAUCUUCGCACCUUGCGCGAUUGAAUGAGCCGAUGUCGGAUUAGCUAGUUGGCGGGGUAAAGGCCCACCAAGGCGACGAUCCGUAGCUGGUCUGAGAGGAUGGUCGGCCACACUGGAACUGAGACACGGUCCAGACUCCUACGGGAGGCAGCAGUGGGGAAUAUUGGACAAUGGGCGAAAGCCUGAUCCAGCCAUACCGCGUGGGUGAAGAAGGCCUUCGGGUUGUAAAGCCCUUUUGUUGGGAAAGAAAAGCAGCAGGUUAAUACCACGCUGUUCUGACGGUACCCAAAGAAUAAGCACCGGCUAACUUCGUG